CCACCAGACCAGGCUGCCCAGAGCCACAUCCAGCCUGACCUUGAAUGCCUCGAGGAUGGGGCAUCCACAGCCUCUCAGGGCAACCUGUUGGCGGUGUGCACGUGUCUGUGAGCAUUUGGGGGAACUAGAAACAGGUGUGGCCUCUGCAAGGCAAGGACAUGGAGCCUCCUCAUGUCUGAUGCAGUGUGAGCCUGCCAGCCUUGAGGUCUUCAGCAUCCUGGCAUGUUCCAGAGGCUGCCUUCCCAUAGAGGAGGCACUGUGACCCCUGCAGCGUGCCCUGGUUUCAACCCAGCAAGGUCAGACCCUCUGCAAGCACUGCAGUCAGUCACCCCUCUAGGAAGCACGUGCUUGGGAAUGCUCAGGUUGCUUGACUCGCACCCUGUGUGAGAGAUCAAUGAGGGCUGCAGCAAAACCUUGCCUCCCUUCAGUGCAUAGGGAAGCACUUCAGUCUUCACUAUGAAUGCAGGUUACGUGGCCUUCUUCACGUUCCCUCUGUCUGAUGUCUGUAUGAGCCUGUGAUUCGCUGUUGCAGGAGUAGUUAUGUGAAAGCCAGUGCAACAAAUUGUAAGUGUAUACCAAGGAAUUUGCCUUAAAACAGUCGUCAUAUGUGGUUCUAGGAUGAUACUGUACUGAGGAAAGCUGAGGUUAAUGAGGUCAGCUUUAAUUCGGUAAUAUAGUAUCAAUAAUGGAAAUAGAAUUCAUUUAAAUGUAGGUGCUAAAAGAUUGGCUGUUCCAUGAAGAGACAUUCCCUCCAGGACAGCAAAUCUCUUCUCACUGACGUCUGUGUUAGCACAAGGCAAUGAGACGGUAAAUUUGAUCCCCCGCCUCUCUUGCUCUCUGCUGCUCUCUGAGGUAGAGGUCUUUUCUCAUGAACCUCAGCAACAGCAGCUUUAACCUUGCACAUCUAAGCCACCAUGAGCAAGAUGGAGUCUUUCCCCAGUUCAAAGAAAUGGAAAGAGAGGUCACCUGAAGAGACCUUUUUCCCAAGCAAGAACUGAAAGCAGGUGCAAGCUGGAAGCACAGGGGAUCCCUAAAGUUAGACUAUUUCACAGGGAUGGGAGAAUCAGUACAUCAUCUGCUGUGACUGCAAUUGAAGCCAACUUGGCAAAGUUGUUUCACUCUGAUUUCAUUCCACUUGGCCACACUCUGGUUUGGCGUGGAGAUUACUGAUGAAGAGUUUGAGCUGCUACUUGACAGAAUCCCCCUUGAUGAAGAUGGAAAUGUCAGAUACCCCCAGUUCAUGGCCAGGUUUGAUUCCUGGAUGUUGGCUUAUACUGUGGUGUCUCUCACAAUCUUUCUCUCAGUGAUCCUGUACCUCUCUGAGAUCUCCCCUGGAAACUCUGCUCUUUCUGCAAAGCAAGGGGAUGGAAUACACACACAGUGUUGCAAAGACGGAGAUAAACUAGGGCCAUGUGGAAUCGUCCUAAUCCGGGAAGAGCCACUGCCUCCCUGUGUGAUCUGACAGACUGACAUAUCACUUGACCUCGGUCACGGCAGCUGUACAACGAGGUGGAAAAGGCGGCUGACGGACAACCAGGGGAUGCCUUUCAGCACAGCUUCCUCGGGCAAGGCAUCCUGGCAGCCUGCGUAGUAAGACCAUAGCUCAGCAAGCUCCUGAUUGCAGCAUGUCCCAGCAGGCUGCAGAAGGUAAGUGAGAGCUUGUUUGUGAUGUGCUGGUGUUCAUAUCAAGCAAAUUCAUCCUUGCUCAUUUGCAUUCAAGGGAGAAAGGAAAGCUGUCCGUAGGCUGACCUUCUGCAUAACCUGUGUUUUUGCCUUGGUCUGAGAAAUUCUUUCCCUGACCUUUUAAUUGGAGGCAAUGUUUUAAAUUUAGUAUUAUUAAAGAUGUUUGCUCUUUAGAAUACUCUUUAAUUUUCUUGUUAAUACCCCUUACUCCCAAGUGGCAUAAAGAGUACUGUGUUUUGAGAAGAGGACCUAAGAAUGGCCCACACAAGAGAAAUAAGAGCAAAGCUGAAGUGUGUGAGAUAGCAUUCUACACGAACCUGCCUGUCUUGUUUUUAAGAUGCGUAGAUUUGUCCAUCUUGUCGAGCAGUUCUGUUAUCCCCAGCGUAGCUCCUGAUGAUUGUCCUGAGGAAAGAUAAUUCGUCAUGAUCUGUCCUGUCAAAAAGCCUCCAACCCAUUUCUGGAUUUAGGGAGAAAUCUUCCUUACCAGUUGGAGUCAACCUUCAAGCAUGUCUUUGCAGAAGAACAUAAAACCCAGCAGGACUCCCUUAUCACAUGGCAUUAACUGAUGUGAUGCUGUCAUUUUUUAUACAUUUGACUUCUUGCCUCCAACCCCCAUGCUGAGAUCUCAUGUUUCUUUUUUCCCCAGGGUCAUGUCUUACACAGAGUCCCCACUGUGGCUUUGCUCUGCUGGGUCAAGGGAAACAUGACAUGACAAUUUUUGCCCUUUCCUGUUAAUGGUUAAAAUUAUAGAAGGGGUAAGAAGAGGUCUGUAUGGAUUUCAUCUUUAAGAUUGAUUUUAUAACGAGAGGGGAACAGGGAAAGACGGAUCCACUCUAAGGCUUUUGGCUUCCCACACCCUUCAGAAAGGGACAGCAGGAUGAAGCAGGAUGACAUCUCAGGGACUCUGUAUCCGUCCCCGAUUGUGACUGUUUUCUUGUGAAGAGCAAAUGUGCGAUUCAAAGAGUGCUUCUAGUUCUGCAGCAGCAGCACGGGGAAUAUUUCAUGUAUGUAGAAGAUGGAGCAUCCCUGUAGACAGUUGUUUUCUGCAACCUUUUGUAAGUUUGGGGAAAAGUUAUUAAGUACUGUUUCUCUUUCUUUCUUUAAAAAAAGACAGAGAGAAAGCCCGCAUUUUCUGCCAUUUCCCAAGAGGCUUUUUAUCUGUUUAAACCAACUAGGGAUUUUUCACAUAUUGACAUAAGCAUUCAUUUGCUAAUUUGCUGGACAUUAAACUGCACAGCAUUCUUGAAUGAGGCUGGAAUACUUGGGUACUUAGUGCUGCUCAGACCCCGCAUCAUUCCCAGUACACAUAUGGUUUUCCUCCUCUAUCUCCUAGAUAAAAGUCACUGUUUGAUCGCCUUAAGGGAAAGAAUGAGUUAAAUGGACCAAUAUUUUAGCCUUGGCUCUAAAACUGGGCCUUUUCAGAAACUCCUCAGCACCUGCAGCAGCUAGGUCAUUUGCACAUACAUAAAUAAAUAAAUUAACAAUGAAUAAAUAAUUUAAUCCUGCCACACAAUGCCACCUUGCAGAUCUGAUCCUUUGCUCCCAGUGAAUUUGUCCAUUCCUAAUUCUUUUUGAUAAAGUCCUCAGAUACUUGCUGACUGUCAGUCUAAUUUUCUUAUUGUUUUCGCUUGAUUAGUUCUGUAUGACCUAAGGUCGCCCUUAAAAUCCACAUCUCUGGUGAAGACUCCGAAAGGCCUUCUUUUUUUUCAAAGGGAUGGAAAGUGCCUGCCAUUUCUCCGGACAAAAGCCUGGAAGGUUUUCAGUUGUUAGCCUCCUGAAGCAGCCCUUUCGCUCACCCAAGCGCAAAAAAAACUCAUUAGGGGGCACCUUUCUUUCUGCCUUCUUCAUCUGAUGCAUGUAGGGUUUACGUGUUUCAAGAUUUUCAGGUCUCGGAUGGAUUUGGCCAGCCUCCCUUUUAACCCUACCGGACUGUGGUUAUGCCCUGGGCAGAGGCUGGUUGCACCUCUGUGCACUGAACCACCUGGAGAUGCUUCGUCCUUUCAGCAGCUGUUUUACACCCCGCUGGUCUGCUGUUCUGUUGAGCAUUUCUGCUCGACAUACAGCACUGCCAUACCUGUGCCUGCCUUUUAAGAAGAAAAGCAUCCCUAAAGUAUACUGGCAGGUAUUACAGCAAUUAGUAGUUCUUGCUUACCUAUGGUGUUUACGAGGGUAUAAUUGAUACAGUUGUCCACAAAAGAAAUUGUAAUUGUAAAGAGAAGUCGUAUCAAACUGAUAAGUGUUUUCUCUUUCAGAAAGGGGCUGUCUGGUCUCUGAUGAAAAAUCUCUACUUUGCCUGGGAUCUGAGCCCAAAGAGAAGAAAUACACAGGAGCAGAAGGAAGAUAAACAGGGCCAUAAAGAGAGCGGCACCAGUGGAAUUUUUGUGGACAAAUACUUUGUGUCUUGCUCCUGCAACACUAUUUCUCCUUGUCCUGUCCUGAAGAGCAGCUGUUCUUCCAUUCCCCUGGGUUAAAAUCUGUUUUGGAAAGCUAAGGGCUAUAGCCAAGGUCUCAGUUCCAAGCAUGUGGAUGACAGUUUUGUAGCCACUAGUCUUGCUACUGGCUGUUUUCAAGACCAAGAGAAAUUCUCUUUCUUAGUUUGGAAGAACAUACUGUUGCAACCACUAUUUAUUUUUUUGCCAGUUCCUCUGAAAUCCCCAUGAUACUGACAAUUUACUUCCUACCUUUUUUUUUUUACCAGUUCCUCUGAAACCUGAGGGAGAUCAGCCCUCCAUAAAAUCAAGCCAGCCAGAUGCAUAAGGCUGGAUCUGUGUGCAAAUCCUUGCAGGUUCCAUACCACCAACUGCAUUACUCUUUCUGUUGGCAUAAAUUCUGACCAGCUGUUAGCUUGAGUUUAGUGUAAAAUAGUGUGGAAGCUAUGUGACAAGGAGAAAUUGUGUCCGCAUGAUACCAGGCAGUCUUGUUUAUAACUUUUUGCAUCAGUGUCCUUUCCACCCAAACCAUUUAGGAGUAUUCAAGCUUUCUGAAUAAACUUGACACAUUAGUUAAAAAGAAGCUUGAAGCUUUAGAUGAAAUUAACUCCUAGUGUCUCAUUCAGAACACAGUGUACAUUCUGUUGAAGAAAUCCUGCUAAAAAUAAGCUAAAACCAUGCUGGAUGAUGCUGAAACCAAUGGCAAAUUUCUCCUCUACUAUGUACAUACUUUAAAUUCAGGAUUUUCUGAUUUUGAGUGCAGGUUGUUCAUACAUGGAGUUCCUGAAGCCUUUUGUUUCUUUUUGGCCAUGUGCAAGAAUGGGAAGGGAGUACCAUAGCUGUUGUCAUGCAGGCUUCUCGGAGGAAACCAGUGCCACAGGAGCUUCUGAGUAUGAUAUUUUGACAACCAGGCUAUGGAGAAAGUUAUGGUGACAGGAAGACUCUCUGAAGAGCCUUUAAGAAGCUACAUGUUGGCAGCUGAAUUUCACUCCAUCCCAAAUCUCCACAGCUUCCUGCUAGAAGAGGAUGAAAUUGACCACAUGCUCUCAAAAUUCAUCUCAGUCUAAAAAGGCAAGUUAAUUGCAAAUCCAUUUCGGAAAAAAAAAAUUAUGACAAACAAACUAAAAGCAAAAAAAUAAAUUUCAAAACUGCUACAAAUUAGAAUAUUCCUUUGAGAAGAAUAACAGCCUUUGUAUUCUCCCAACUGCUUAUCCUUCUAGCUACCUCACAUAUUUAUUUCUCCUAUUUAUAUUCCCUGUCUAUUGAUUGUGGGUCAUAUUCGAUACUGUAUGUUGUUUUGUGGAAAGGUGGUAGAAGCUCCUUCUGAGAGCUUAAAGCAAAGCUGAAAAUAAGACAGUUACUAACUGUAUGUAACAUAUGUUAUGUGUCUAAGAAAACGAGCUCUCUGAGAAGAAGAGGCUAAGUUGCUCUAUGAAGCAGCAGAUUGAUUUCAGAAGGUGAAAUAUUUAAGCUGCUUUGCUGCUGGGAGCCUCCUCACAACAGAAGAGUGUUCCUUUGGCCUCACAGAGUUAGUUUGAAUCCUGCACAUGCAUGUAAGAGAGUAGAUUAUUUUGCCUAGUUGUGUCAUCUUUUCUUCUUGGGGGAACAGUUCAUGCCUUCAGUACAGCAGGCAGUAGGGCCUGCUCUGCAGUUGUUCUGCACAUAUGACUUCCCUUUCACCAUCAGAGUAACUGAGUGUAAGACCAAGGUAGGUUAUUUAUUUUCCAUGCAUCUUUGCAAACACAGGGCUGUGUGGCUCAGUUAGUAAAUUGAGCACCAAGAGCCACUGAAAUAUGGAUCACUUACCUGUUUGGUAAGGUCUCUGCUGAGGCAGCUCCAUCAUGCCUCCUCCUCAUGUAAACAGCUCUAGCUUCAGGGGUCUAAGGAGCUAAGUAUUUGGUCCAGAAUAUACACAAGUAGGUAAAUAGCUUGUUUGUUUGCUUUAAUAUACUGACUUUCCUGUGGACAGUAAUUUGUAACCAACUUAAGCACUGGUACCCUUAAGCAACAUUUAAUUGGUUUUCAUGCAUCUUAGCCAUCUAACAGGUUAUAUUUGGCUUUCUACAACAAAAAAUUGGUCUUGUUCUUUUUCCAAAUACUUCCCAUCCUUCUCCAGGCAUCAAAGAGAAUAAUGAAACUCCAAUAAAAGAAAUAAAUGUGUUGAUGUCAGAGGGGAUGGACACAGCAGGCACAUCUGUGAACUCCAAUUCUUGCAGCUCCUGCUCAGCAGAACACACCUGUCAGCUGGAAGGUCUCCUUCCCACAAACCGUUUCUGCAAAGAAGUUGCUGGUAAGUGCACAGCUGCUCCAGCACUAAGGAGCUGUCUCCAAAUGAGGCAGCAGGGAAAGAAGCUGCAGUGGGUAGGGAAGGCUUUGCAACCAGGUGCCGCAGACCCUGGUGUGAGCAGUGUGAUCCUGGUGGAAUCACAGAGCCACAGAAUGGCAGGGGUUGGAAGGGACGGCAAGCGAUCGUUGGGUCCAACCUCCCUGCUAAAGCAGUUCCCUGCAGUAAGUGGCACAGGUAAGGCAUCCUCUGUGCUUUAGGGGAGCAGGAGUGUGGUGGCAUCCCAUGGAGCAGGGACACCAGGAGUCACAGACCGACCGGAGCUGUGCUGCUGUGGGACGAGGGGUCGUAGCGGUACCCAAAGUCAAAUAAAAGGAACCUUGUCAUCAGCUGACAAGUUAUCCUGAAAUUACUCUGCUUGCUUCAGUUUGGGGGCUGUAGCCUGUGGCACGGGCUCUGUGCCCGAGGGUGGGAAGCACCCAGCGUGGUACUGCAGCCGUGGCUGUGCACGAGGGCUACUGCAAAGCCAUGGGAAGAAGGAAGUGCUCUGCUCUGUGUGCUAUGGGCAUGCUCAGCUCACAAACCUGCUCUUCACAGUGAAAUAAGCAUGGCACGGGAACAUUCCUGCUGGUUGUGGGCCUGUUCAGAACGUAAACUCUGAAUGUAGAGUGGAUGGAUGCAAGCUGCUUGUGCGUCUCUGUGACCUAACCGGUGACGGUUUAUUCCCACAAUAGCUCAAAUAAAUCCUUCUGAUAAAUCAGUGAGUUGGAGAUGUUUUCAGUAACACAACGUUGCGGAGAUGAGCGUAACCUCACCUACUGCCCAGGUGAGUGACAGCUGCGUCAGUGUGAAGUGCAGAGCACCCGAGGCUGCGGGCGGGGGUGAGCCCAGCGGCGGUGUGGGGCCGAGGGGCGCGUGUGCGGGGCUGCGGGAGGCUUAUCGCCGGGUCAUUGUGCAGCCGGAGGGGUUUAUCCUCAGCGGCCAAAUGAAAACGGAGAGGACAAAAAAAAACAUCCCGGAUAGCAACAUUCGAGAUACAAAGACUGUCACGGGCCAGUGCGAGUUGGCAAAAUUGUAUGUAAAUGACGGCAGUUUUGUCCGUGGUGGCCCUCUGCUAAUCCCAGAGAGAAAAUCUACUUAGCCGGGGAAGUUCUGUCUGAUUUGGUUAACAGUGCCCGAAAUGAAUCUAUUAAUAAUUUAUACGUCCAGGGAAACACUGUAUCUUUAAUGCUACAAUGCCAAAGGGGAAGAAGGGGUCACACCCGCUCAACGCUCGGAGCGCAACUCGCGCGGGGUCCCGUUAGC